UACGAAGGGUGCGAGCGUUGUUCGGAAUUACUGGGCGUAAAGGGUUCGUAGGCGGGUGUGUAAGUUGAGUGUGAAAACCCUGGGCUCAACCUGGGACGUGCAUUCAAGACUGUGCAUCUUGAGUACUGGAGAGGGUGGUGGAAUUGCUGGUGUAGGAGUGACAUCCGUAGAGAUCAGCAGGAACGCCGGAGGCGAAAGCGACCGCCUGGCCAGAGACUGACGCUGAGGAACGAAAGCGUGGGGAGCAAAC
rnacentral:rRNA from 1 species